CUUGUUUUAACUUUUGUCAUAAAUGAACCCAUCUACUGAUGAUUACACAUAUCCUGCUACUAUUUGUUCUUCCACCACACGCUAUGUCUAUGUAUGUAUAACCAUGGGCAAUUUUUACAUACUAGUCUCUAGGGAACUAUUUUAUUCUUUCUCUGAGAAGCAAAGUAUUUUGAUCAUAUUCAUUCUCUUUGCCCUACUCGUCCCAGAUCCAUCCCAUUCCCCACCCACCCAGUUUUGAGUAUUUUUUUAAACCUAUCAAAAGACCAAUUUAUGCUGCCCAGUCACUCUUGAUACAUGACUUUCCACUAGAGCAUGGUCAACUCAUCACUAUAUCUUGGCUAAUUUUACUUAAAUGCAUCUAUUUAUCAGCAGAACUGGGGAAAAAAGUGACAUCAAGAGAGAAACAGAGAAAACAUGAUGGCCAGGAAAAAGUUCAGUCAUUGCCGAUUGUCUCUGAGCAUCUUCCACAGAAACAGGAUGUGAUUAAUUUAGCUGUCACUACAGAACAAAGAAGACAAAAUAUGGCAACCACAGUAAUGAAUGGUCCAUGUAAAGCAGUGACAUCAACAGAAGAUGAAAGAAAGUGUGAUAGCGGUGAAAGUAUUCAAUCAUUGAUCCUCCAUGAGCCUCAUGCAGAGAAGAAGAAUAUUGUCCAUUUCCCCAGGAUUGCAGAUCCCAGAGGAGAAGAGGUGGCAAAUGGACAAAAGAAAGCAGAACUAAACUUAUAUGUGGCAUCCAGAGAAGAACAGAAGAAGGAUGACAUCAACAGUAACAGUCAGCCACUGCUUAAACAAAAAAAGAAGACAGGACUCAGCAACAGGACAGACACAGUGGAAAAGCCAUCUUAUGGCAACACUGCUAGUGCCCCUGCUGCUACCACCGAUGAUGAUGAUGAUGAUGAUGAUGAUGGUGAUGAUGGUGAUGAUGACUACUAUGAUGAUGAUGGUGAUGAUAAUGAUGAUGAUGAUGAUGAUGAUGGUAAUGAUGGUGAUGAUGGUGAUGGUGAUG
rnacentral:lncRNA from 1 species